GUGGGGAAUUGUUCGCAAUGGGCGAAAGCCUGACGACGCAACGCCGCGUGGGGGAUGAAGGCCUUCGGGUCGUAAACCCCUGUCGAGCGGGACGAACGGCCCGCGAUUGAAUAGAUCGCGGGAGUGACGGUACCGCUAAAGGAAGCCACGGCUAACUCUGUGCCAGCAGCCGCGGUAAUACAGAGGUGGCAAGCGUUGUUCGGAAUUACUGGGCGUAAAGGGCGCGUAGGCGGCUUCCUCAGUCAGACGUGAAAUCCCUAGGCUUAACCUAGGAACUGCGUCUGAUACUGGGAGGCUUGAGUUCGGGAGAGGGAUGUAGAAUUCCAGGUGUAGCGGUGAAAUGCGUAGAUAUCUGGAGGAAUACCGGUGGCGAAGGCGGCAUCCUGGACCGAAACUGACGCUGAGGCGCGAAAGCUAGGGUAGCAAACGGGAUUAGAUACCCGAGUAGUCC
rnacentral:rRNA from 1 species